rnacentral:rRNA from 1 species
AACGAACGCUGGCGGCAGGCUUAACACAUGCAAGUCGAACGCCCCGCAAGGGGAGUGGCAGACGGGUGAGUAACGCGUGGGAACGUGCCCUUCGCUUCGGAAUAGCCCCGGGAAACUGGGAGUAAUACCGGAUACGCCGUAUUGGGAAAGAUUUAUCGGCGAAGGAUCGGCCCGCGUUAGAUUAGCUAGUUGGCGGUGUAAUGGACCACCAAGGCUACGAUCUAUAGCUGGUCUGAGAGGAUGAUCAGCCACACUGGGACUGAGACACGGCCCAGACUCCUACGGGAGGCAGCAGUGGGGAAUCUUGGAC